AUCUAGAUAUCAUGUAUGCCUCUUUGAUGGAUUUAGGUUAAGUCACCUGCUGGAGCAGCUUGAGGCCAGGCUGAUGAUACAGAAAACGAAGCAAACAAAUUUCAUCGAAUCAAGAACUAUCUUCAUGCCAAGUUAUCAGAGCAGUAAAGAAAUGCCAAUGAGAUGGUACGAAUUGUCCAUUGCAUGCAUGGUGUUGUUACUUUGUUCCUCAUAAGGGUCUGAUUUGCUCUGUUUUUUCACAAGGGUCUGAUUUCAGAGCACACAAGUCAUCCCAUGCAUUGUCUUUCAGGGGCUAACAAUUUGGUACCAAUUGAAAUUACUCUGAAGUUUGCAAACAAGAUUAAGGCGAAUGAGAGUUUUUCUGCAUACUUAGUACUUCCUGUGUUGCCCGAGGAUAAGCCAACUGGUGCUCCUACACAAAGAAUUCUUUACUCGCAGAUUUUUCCCGAUAGAGCACACCCAAUUUUUCACUUAUAUUGUAGAACAAAACAACACAAAUGAUCGAGACAAUAUAUAGGGCCUUGUUAGGUCUUUAUGAUAUAUAUGAGCCUCAUGAUUAUUUGAACUUUAUUUGUCUUGGCAAUACUGAUGUUGAUGACAGCCCUAGCACAGCCUUAGGUGCAAAUCUCGAUAUACAUGUAUUAUUGGAUCGAAGGGCAUCUCCAAAUAAAUGCUCAGUGUACAAAUAGAAAGCAAACUAAUAUGGUUGUGUACAUGUGUUCCA